GCUCCUACGGGGCGCAGCAGUGGGGAAUUUUGCGCAAUGGGGGAAACCCUGACGCAGCAACGCCGCGUGCGGGACGAAGGCCCUCGGGUCGUAAACCGCUUUCAGCAGGGAAGACCACGACGGUACCUGCAGAAGAAGCUCCGGCUAACUACGUGCCAGCAGCCGCGGUAAUACGUAGGGGGCGAGCGUUAUCCGGAUUCAUUGGGCGUAAAGCGCGCGUAGACGGCCAGACAAGUCAGAAGUGAAAGCCCAGGGCUCAACCCUGGGACUGCUUUU
rnacentral:rRNA from 1 species